rnacentral:misc_RNA from 1 species
GAUGAAGAACGUAGCGAAAUGCGAUACGUAGUGUGAAUUGCAGAAUUCAGUGAAUCAUCGAAUCUUUGAACGCACAUUGCACCUCUCGGUAUUCCGGGAGGUAUGCCUGUUCGAGCGUCAUUUGUACCCUCAAGCUCUGCUUGGUGUUGGGUGUUUGUUCCGCCUCUGUGUGUGAACUCGCCUCAAAACAAUUGGCAGCCGGCGUACUUGUUUCGGAGCGCAGCACAUUUUGCGAUCCAGAUCAACGUACAGCGGCAUCCAAGAAGCCUUAUUUAACGCUCUUGACCUCGGAUCAAGUAGGGAUACCCGCUGAACUUAAGCAUAUCAAUAAGCGGAGGA